GUCCGAUGUCGGUAAAAAUGCCUUUGUUUAUUGCGCAGACGUAGCGAAAUUAUUUAAUGCAUUUGAUCAUAAACACAAUGUCGAUGAAUGGAGACUUUUCAUUGAUGGGUCAUGCAAAAGCUUGAAAGCUGUUCUUUAGCUCAAUGAAAACCAAUUUCCCUCUAUCCCUAUUGCAUACGUUACUGGCUUAAAGGAAACUUAUAAAGUCAUGGGAAAAAUACUCAGUUUAUAAAUACUCAGUUUAUAUGCAACAUACAAAUGGAAAAUUGUUGCGGACCUUAAGGUGUUGACGAUUCUAUUUGGAAUGCAAGGUGGAAACACAAAGUAUCCAUGCUAUCUUUGUGAAUGAGACAGCCGAGCACCUAAACGCUAUGAACGCAAGAAAUGGCCACCACUUGCGUUACCUCAAAUUGGUAG